AAACUCUCACUCUUGCGAUGUUAAAGUUGCAAGUUGUGGACUUGGACUGUGCCGUAGUUGGCUCGUCCUGAAAUGCAUUAGCUUGUGCUUAUUAGAGCGCUCGGCAUUGGUGUGAUAAUUAUCUUCACCGUCGCCUUAUGCCUCUUCGGAAGUGCUGCUUCUAAUCGUCCCAACGGACAAUUUCUCAAA
rnacentral:misc_RNA from 1 species